rnacentral:tRNA from 1 species
GCCCGGAUGGUCUAGUGGUACGUUCCACUUCAAAAUGCUAUCCUGCGAAUCUUCAACUAAUGAAUAAUUAGGUAUGAUUCGCGCUUCGGGUGAACCUGUGCGAGGUCCCGCGUUCAAAUCGCGGUUCGGG